rfam:Triticum aestivum genome assembly, contig: Triticum_aestivum_CS42_TGACv1_scaffold_527743_6DL
UACGUACUCCCUCUUUCCGAAAAAACUUGUCAUCAAAAUGGAUAAAAAGUCAUGUAUCUAGAACUAAUAUACAUCUAGAUACAUCUCCUUUUAUUCAUUUUAAUGACAAGUAUUUCCGGAGGGAGUAUAAG